GAACUGAAGAGUUUGAUCCUGGCUCAGAUUGAACGCUGGCGGCAUGCCUAACACAUGCAAGUCGAACGGCAGCGCGGGGAGCUUGCUCCC
rnacentral:ncRNA from 1 species